ACGCGAGGAACCUUACCAGGUCUUGACAUCCUCUGACACUCCUAGAGAUAGGACGUUCCCCUUCGGGGGACAGAGUGACAGGUGGUGCAUGGUUGUCGUCAGCUCGUGUCGUGAGAUGUUGGGUUAAGUCCCGCAACGAGCGCAACCCUUGAUCUUAGUUGCCAGCAUUUAGUUGGGCACUCUAAGGUGACUGCCGGUGACAAACCGGAGGAAGGUGGGGAUGACGUCAAAUCAUCAUGCCCCUUAUGACCUGGGCUACACACGUGCUACAAUGGAUGGUACAAAGGGCAGCAAAGCGGUGACGCCUAGCGAAUCCCAUAAAACCAUUCUCAGUUCGGAUUGUAGGCUGCAACUCGCCUACAUGAAGCUGGAAUCGCUAGUAAUCGCGGAUCAGCAUGCCGCGGUGAAUACGUUCCCGGGCCUUGCACACACCGCCCGU
rnacentral:rRNA from 1 species